ACCGAUAGUGAACCAGUACCGUGAGGGAAAGGUGAAAAGAACCCCUGUUAGGGGAGUGAAAUAGUACCUGAAACCGUAUGCCUACAAGCAGUCGGAGCCUUGAUUCGUCAGGGUGACGGCGUGCCUUUUGCAUAAUGAGCCGGCUAGUUAUUCUAUGCGGCAAGGUUAAGCUCGGUGACGAGCGGAGCCAUAGCGAAAGCGAGUCUGAAUAGGGCGUUGAGUCGUAUGGAAUAGACGCGAAGCUGAGUGAUCUAUCCUUGGCCAGGAUGAACUCCAGGUAACACUGGAGGAAGGUCCGAACCGCUACAGGUUGAAAACUGUUCGGAUGAGCUGAGGAUAGGGGUGAAAGGCCAAUCAAACUCAGUGAUAGCUCGUUCUCUCCGAAAUAGCUUUAGGGCUAGCCUCGUAUGAUUGGUAAUGGGGGUAGAGCACUGGAUGGCCUAGGGCUUGGAAACUUGUACCGAAUCCAACCAAACUCCGAAUCCCAUUAACCACAGUACGGGAGUCAGACUACGGGGGCUAAGCUCCGUGGUCAAAAGGGAAACAGCCCAGACCGUCAGCUAAGGUCCCUAAAUGCAAGCUAAGUGGGCAAGGAUGUGAGGAGACCAAGACAACCAGGAGGUUGGCUUAGAAGCAGCCACCCUUUAAAGAAAGCGUAACAGCUCACUGGUCAAGUGUCUUUGCGCCGACAAUGUAACGGGGCUCAAGCUUGCUACCGAAGCUACGGAUCCUCUCGAGGAUGGUAGGAGAGCAUUCCAAUCUGGCUGAAGCCUCGAUGUAAGUCGGGGUGGACGGGUUGGAAGAGA
rnacentral:rRNA from 1 species